rnacentral:rRNA from 1 species
AAACCAACAGGGAUUGCCUUAGUAGCGGCGAGUGAAGCGGCAAGAGCUCAAAUUUGAAAUCUGGUACCUUCGGUGCCCGAGUUGUAAUUUGAAGAAAGCUAUCUUGGAUUUGGCCUUUGUCUAUGUUCCUUGGAACAGGACGUCACAGAGGGUGAGAAUCCCGUGCGAUGAGGUGUCCAUUUCUAUGUAAGAUGUUUUCGAAGAGUCGAGUUGUUUGGGAAUGCAGCUCUAAGUGGGUGGUAAAUUCCAUCUAAAGCUAAAUAUUGGCGAGAGACCGAUAGCGAACAAGUACAGUGAUGGAAAGAUGAAAAGAACUUUGAAAAGAGAGUGAAAAAGUACGUGAAAUUGUUGAAAGGGAAGGGUAUUAGAUCAGACUUGGUAUUUAGUUAUCAUUGCUCCUUGUGGGUGGUGCUCUAGCUUUUUACUGGGCCAGCAUCAGUUUUGGUGACAGGAUAAUAGCAAUUGAAUGUGGCUCUUCGGAGUGUUAUAGCUUUUGUUGAUACUGUCUACUGGGACUGAGGUCUGCGGCUUUGCCUAGGAUGCUGGCGUAAUGAUCCAAUACCGC